rnacentral:rRNA from 1 species
GACGAACGCUGGCGGCGUGCUUAACACGUGCAAGUCGAACGGAAAGGCCCUGCUUGCAGGGUACUCGAGUGGCGAACGGGUGAGUAGCACGUGGGUGAUCUGCCCUGCACUUCGGGAUAAGCCUGGGAAACUGGGUCUAAUACCGGAUAGGAGCCAUUUUUAGUGUGAUGGUUGGAAAGUUUUUUCGGUGUAGGAUGAGCUCGCGGCCUAUCAGCUUGUUGGUGGGGUAAUGGCCUACCAAGGCGGCGACGGGUAGCCGGCCUGAGAGGGUGGACGGCCACAUUGGGACUGAGAUACGGCCCAGACUCCUACGGGAGGCAGCAGUGGGGAAUAUUGCACAAUGGGCGCAAGCCUGAUGCAGCGACGCCGCGUGGGGGAUGACGGCCUUCGGGUUGUAAACUCCUUUCGCUAGGGACGAAGCUUUUUGUGACGGUACCUAGAUAAGAAGCACCGGCUAACUACGUG